rnacentral:rRNA from 2 species
AACGCGAAGAACCUUACCUACUCUUGACAUCCAGAGAACUUAGCAGAGAUGCUUUGGUGCCUUCGGGAACUCUGAGACAGGUGCUGCAUGGCUGUCGUCAGCUCGUGUUGUGAAAUGUUGGGUUAAGUCCCGCAACGAGCGCAACCCUUAUCCUUUGUUGCCAGCGAUUCGGUCGGGAACUCAAAGGAGACUGCCAGUGAUAAACUGGAGGAAGGUGGGGAUGACGUCAAGUCAUCAUGGCCCUUACGAGUAGGGCUACACACGUGCUACAAUGGCAUAUACAAAGAGAAGCGACCUCGCGAGAGCAAGCGGACCUCAUAAAGUAUGUCGUAGUCCGGAUUGGAGUCUGCAACUCGACUCCAUGAAGUCGGAAUCGCUAGUAAUCGUAGAUCAGAAUGCUACGGUGAAUACGUUCCCGGGUCUUGUACACACCG